AGCAGCCGCGGUAAUUCCAGCUCCAAUAGCGUAUAUUAAAGUUGUUGCAGUUAAAAAGCUCGUAGUUGAAUUUCGGGGUCAGUAGGUCGGUCGUGCCACUGGUAUGAACUGGUUUUACUGAUUCCUCCCUCUUGAAGAACUGUAAUGCCAUUAAUUUGGUGUUGCAGGGAAUCAGGACUGUUACUUUGAAAAAAUUAGAGUGUUUAAAGCAGGCUUUAGCUUGAAUACAUUAGCAUGGAAUAAUGAAAUAGGACGUUUGAUCCUAUUUUGUUGGUUUCUAGGAUUGACGUAAUGAUUAAUAGGGAUAGUUGGGGGCAUUAGUAUUCAAUUGUCAGAGGUGAAAUUCUUGGAUUUAUUGAAGACUAACUACUGUGAAAGCAUUUGCCAAGGAUGUUUUCAUUAAUCAAGAACGAAAGUUAGGGGAUCGAAGACGAUCAGAUACCGUCGUAGUCUUAACCAUAAACUAUGCC
rnacentral:rRNA from 1 species